rnacentral:rRNA from 1 species
UCUCUUGGCGGCGAGUGGCGGACGGGUGAGUAAUAUAUCGGAACGUGCCCAGUAGCGGGGGAUAACUACUCGAAAGAGUGGCUAAUACCGCAUACGCCCUACGGGGGAAAGGGGGGGAUCGCAAGACCUCUCACUAUUGGAGCGGCCGAUAUCGGAUUAGCUAGUUGGUGGGGUAAAGGCUCACCAAGGCAACGAUCCGUAGCUGGUUUGAGAGGACGACCAGCCACACUG